rnacentral:sRNA from 1 species
AUAAAUGAAGGACGUUCCCCAUCGCCUGAACGUAGAACUAAUUGCCGCCGUAGCACUAAGCCCCGACACACACACAAUAUUGAUCGAUGCGGAAAGUCACGAUGCUGCCUUGCCUGUUGCAUGUGACCCACAAAUGUGGUGGACUUUUGGAACUGCCAUUCCCUUGACAUUGCCACACGUACGAAUGUCACCGCCAGCUCAAAAAAGCUCAAAACCAAUUUUGGUAGACAGCGAGAGGAGGCCCUCCCUGGCCUCACUCGCUCUCCCGCUCUCUGCAUCGUUUCUCUAACCAAUUGAUGAGAAUUUAUACAAUGGACAAGACCUAUGAAGGAGUGCCAGGGGUGGUGUUUCGUCAAGGGGUUUGGGAAAUCACUUAAGGAAUGCAGAUAGAAAUCAAAAAGGAAGGAAGGACCGAAGUGUAGAUACCCUUUGUAGAGCAAAUAAAACCAUAAAUCUUUAA